GACGAACGCUGGCGGCGUGCCUAAUACAUGCCAGUUGAGCGAUGAAGAUUGGUGCUUGCCCCAAUUUGAAGAGCAGCGAACGGGUGAGUAACGCGUGGGGAAUCUGCCUUUGAGCGGGGGACAACAUUUGGAAACGAAUGCUAAUACCGCAUAACAACUUUAAACAUAAGUUUUAAGUUUGAAAGAUGCAAUUGCAUCACUCAAAGAUGAUCCCGCGUUGUAUUAGCUAGUUGGUGAGGUAAAGGCUCACCAAGGCGAUGAUACAUAGCCGACCUGAGAGGGUGAUCGGCCACAUUGGGACUGAGACACGGCCCAAACUCCUACGGGAGGCAGCAGUAGGGAAUCUUCGGCAAUGGACGAAAGUCUGACCGAGCAACGCCGCGUGAGUGAAGAAGGUUUUCGGAUCGUAAAACUCUGUUGGUAGAGAAGAACGUUGGUGAGAGUGGAAAGCUCAUCAAGUGACGGUAACUACCCAGAAAGGGACGGCUAACUACGUG
rnacentral:rRNA from 1 species